AACAGCACGGCUUUUACACAGGACCAAGUGCAAGGAUGAAUGGUAGAAAGGUGCCUGCCCUGGAAUAACUCGUCCCAAGGGGGAAUCAGAGUGGAGCACACUGGUAUGCAGUGUCUGCUUAAUGUAGGAGUGUGAAAAAAGCAAAAUGGGAAUUAAUGAAGGCUAAAGAAGAGCAGAAACCCUAGGGGCUCUCAUUCCUUCCUCAUCUACCAGCCACACUCAUGGAAACGCUUUGUGACGUUCUCCAAAUCCUUGGACGUGAACCUAUAACUAAGCAUACCAGAACUCCCCCUACUGAGGAGCUACCACAACCACAGCUAAAUAUUUGGGGAAUUUCUUUGGCAAAACACUUCCCCGUUGGAAAGUGCUGAUUUGUUGAAACCAAAGCUUUCUGUGGAAAAACAUCAGCUUCCGUGAAAUAUUACUUGGGAAGAGGUUCUUGGGCUCACAGUGCAAUUGCUUGGCAGAGCCAGGCAGAUAAAGCAUUCCUUAUGGGACUCUUCUGCACCGUCCAUGCGCUGGGGGGCAGACAGACCAGCAGACAGACAUAAACACAAACCAGAAAGGGCAACCUCCAGUGUGGAAGGCCAGAUUUAAAGGAGGUGUUUGAACCUGACCUUUCCCACCAGGCUGCUGCCAUAUGGGAAGGGGGCUGGAUCCUGUCUCAGAAUCUGUGUUCAAGAAAAUGAGCUCUGGCAUUUUGGUUUUCUGUUUCAAAAAAAAGAGAGGAAACAACAAGACAAACCCAUUAAACUUGUCAUGAAACGGCACUCAGUUCCCAUUCCCACUUUCUAGUCUUAGCAUAAAUGGUUUCAUUGUACUCG
rnacentral:lncRNA from 1 species